ACGUAGGUGGCGAGCGUUACUCGGAAUUACUAGGCGUAAAGCGUAUGUAGGCGGUUGUAUAAGUCUAAGGUGAAAUUUCCUGGCUCAACUGGGAAGGGGCAUUGGAUACUGUAUGACUGGAGUAUAGCAGAGGGAGACGGAAUUCCUGGUGUAGCGGUGAAAUGCGUAGAUAUCAGGAGGAACACCGAUGGCGAAGGCAGUCUCCUGGGCAAAUACUGACGCUGAGGUGCGAAAGCGAGGGUAGCAAACAG
rnacentral:rRNA from 1 species